rnacentral:rRNA from 1 species
GACGUAGGGCGCGAGCGUUGUCCGGAUUUAUUGGGCGUAAAGAGCUCGUAGGCGGCUCGUUGCGUCGGCUGUGAAAACCCGCAGCUCAACUGUGGGCUUGCAGCUGAUACGGGCGGGCUGGGAUUCGGUAGGGGAGACUGGAAUUCCUGGUGUAGCGGUGAAAUGCGUAGAUAUCUGGAGGAACACCGGUGGCGAAGGCGGCAUCCUGGACCGGUAUUGACGCUGAUGAGCGAAAGCCAGGGGAGCAAACGGG